rnacentral:rRNA from 1 species
UACGUAGGGGGCGAGCGUUGUCCGGAUUUAUUGGGCGUAAAGCGUGCGUAGGCGGCUGCGCAAGUCGGGUGUGAAACCCCGGGGCUCAACCCCGGAACUGCAUCCGAUACUGCGUGGCUAGAGGUAGGUAGGGGAGAUCGGAAUUCCCGAUGUAGCGGUGAAAUGCGUAGAGAUCGGGAAGAACAUCGGUGGCGAAAGCGGGUCUCUGGGCAACAACUGACGCUGAGGAGCGAAAGCGUGGGGAGCGAACAGG